CAUUGUCUUGACAAGAGCAUCCUCAGCGGGCGAGUCCCCGGCUCCUCCAGCUCCUUCCUCCUCUUCCUCCUCCUCCUCCACCUCCGGCUUUUGGGGGGUCACGGUCCUCUCUCGGCAGCAGAAUGAGCCGGCAGGUGGUCCGCUCCAGCAAGUUCCGCCACGUGUUUGGACAGCCAGCCAAGGCCGACCAGUGCUAUGAAGAUGUGCGCGUCUCACAGACCACCUGGGACAGUGGCUUCUGUGCCGUCAACCCUAAGUUUGUGGCCCUGAUCUGUGAGGCCAGCGGGGGAGGGGCCUUCCUGGUGCUGCCCCUGGGCAAGGUGAGCCCCUGGGGCCCUGGGGGGAGCAGCUCCCAUGGCUCUGUGCAGGUCCUGAUUAGGUGACUGUCACCAGGCCUUCCAGGGCCUGUGUUGCCAUCUGGAAAACUGAGCUGGGCCCCAUGAGCCUUACACUUCCUCCAGCUCCUCUGUGCUGUGGCUGUGUGGAAACUGACGCUCAGAAUGAGCCAACACAAGAUGGGUCACACCAGUGACCAGGACUACAGACAGUCCUGCAGACCCACGACCAGCCCUUCUGAGCCUCAGCCUGGGGCUGGAAACACAGAGAGGGCUGUGAUGGGGUCUGGGGGCCCCCGACUGCAGACAGUCUGCAGACCCACGACCAGCCCUCCUGAGCCUCAGCCUGGGGCUUUCUCCCCAUGGAAACACAGAGAGGGUUGGGAUGGGGUCUGGGGGCCCUGGCAGCAUUCUCGGGGUUGGGAGGGACUCUGGCUCUGGGCCUGUCUGAGGACCCAGGAACUCUGUCCCCUAGCUCGCAGGCAGGGAUGAUGCAAGAGGUGCUCUCCCCCACCCCCAGCCCUGCCCUCCCCUGGAGCCUGCUGCCCCCUCCGCUGGCUGUCUGCUGCCCCGCACCCCCAGCACACUCCUGUGCUCUUUGGGGGGUAAGACAGGAAGGGGAGAUGGGCCUCAAGUUGUUACCUUAAAAGGGCCGAUGGAAGCAAAGAGAAGAGGAAGUGGUUGUCGGGGUGAGAGCUGGGCCCGCGCCCCGCACGGCUGUCAAACAGGAAGCCCUGCUGAAGCAGCUGUCCCCGGAAGAAGCCAUUUCCAAACCUCUGCUCCUGCCUGGGGCCAGUUAAGACAGGCUCCCUGGCCCCUCUCCUUUUGGGAGGACCCACCCCUGCAGCCCCACCACUCACACUUGCUCUCUGGGGAGCCGCCCCCACCCCCACCCCCAGCCCCCAUACACCUGUCCUGGCUCCAGGGCCAGUUGUGCCCAUGGAAGCCUCACUUGGGGAAGCUGGGGUGGGGGUGCCAACUCUAAGGGCAGAGACAGACUGAGACAGAGACCGGCAGGAACUCCACCAGGGUCUUGCACAGCCCCCAACCUCUGCCAUGCGUGGCCAGCCCUCCUGGGGUUUGCCCAGGCCAUUUUGGGGCUGGAACAAGAGAAGAACAACCCGACCCCUGCCCCUACCCUAGGCCCUGGUCCAGCUCCCAGGGACACCACAGCUUUCUUCUCUGGGCCUCUCUGAAGGAGGUGUGGGGAGGUUGGAUUGGGUUUGGGGGGAAAAGCACCUACAUCCAAGGCCCUGCUGUGCCUUUAGACUGGACGUGUAGACAAGAAUGCGCCCACGGUCUGUGGCCACACAGCCCCUGUGCUAGACAUCGCCUGGUGCCCGCACAAUGACAACGUCAUUGCCAGUGGCUCCGAGGACUGCACAGUCAUGGUGUGGGAGAUCCCGGAUGGGGGCCUGAUGUUGCCCCUGCGGGAGCCUGUCGUCACCCUGGAGGGCCACACCAAGCGUGUAGGCAUUGUGGCCUGGCACCCCACAGCCCAGAACGUGCUGCUCAGUGCAGGUUGUGACAACGUGAUCAUGGUGUGGGACGUGGGCACUGGGGCGGCCAUGCUGACGCUGGGCCCAGAGGUGCACCCAGACACGAUCUACAGUGUGGACUGGAGCCGAGACGGAGGCCUCAUUUGUACCUCCUGCCGUGACAAGCGCGUGCGCAUCAUCGAGCCCCGCAAAGGCACUGUUGUAGCUGAGAAGGAUCGUCCCCACGAGGGGACCCGGCCCGUGCGUGCAGUGUUCGUGUCGGAGGGGAAGAUCCUGACCACGGGCUUCAGCCGCAUGAGUGAGCGGCAGGUGGCGCUGUGGGACACAAAGCACCUGGAGGAGCCGCUGUCCCUGCAGGAGCUGGACACCAGCAGCGGUGUCCUGCUGCCCUUCUUUGACCCUGACACCAACAUCGUCUACCUCUGUGGCAAGGGUGACAGCUCUAUCCGGUACUUUGAGAUCACUUCCGAGGCCCCGUUCCUGCACUAUCUCUCCAUGUUCAGUUCCAAGGAGUCCCAGCGGGGCAUGGGCUACAUGCCCAAACGUGGGCUGGAGGUGAACAAGUGUGAGAUCGCCAGGUUCUACAAGCUGCACGAGCGGAGGUGUGAGCCCAUUGCCAUGACAGUGCCUCGAAAGUCGGACCUGUUCCAGGAGGACCUGUACCCACCCACCGCAGGGCCUGACCCUGCCCUCACGGCUGAGGAGUGGCUGGGGGGUCGGGAUGCUGGGCCCCUCCUCAUCUCCCUCAAGGAUGGCUACGUACCCCCAAAGAGCCGGGAGCUGAGGGUCAACCGGGGCCUGGACACUGGGCGCAGGAGGGCAGCACCAGAGGCCAGUGGCACUCCCAGCUCGGAUGCCAUGUCCCGGCUGGAGGAGGAGAUGCGGAAGCUCCAGGCCACGGUGCAGGAGCUCCAGAAGCGCUUGGACAGGCUGGAGGAGACAGUCCAGGCCAAGUAGAGCCCCACAGGGACUUCAGCAGGGUCAGCCAUUCACACCCAUCCACUCACUUCCCAUUCCCAGCCACAUGGCAGAGAAAAAAAUCAUAAUAAAAUGGCUUUAUUUUCUGGU
rnacentral:sRNA from 1 species